rnacentral:snoRNA from 1 species
AAACCAUGGUGUGGGCAUUGAGCUUGGUAGUCCUCGAAUCUCUCCCAGGCUUCACUGAAUCCUUCUUGGAAACUGGAGAUCUCAUUUCGCAGCUU